UGGGGAAUAUUGGUCAAUGGGGGAAACCCUGAACCAGCGACGCCGCGUGAGGGAAGAAGGUUUUCGGAUUGUAAACCUCUGUCUUCGGGGAAGAAUAAUGACGGUACCCGAGGAGGAAGCCACGGCUAACUACGUGCCAGCAGCCGCGGUAAUACGUAGGUGGCAAGCGUUGUCCGGAAUUACUGGGUGUAAAGGGAGCGUAGGCGGGUAUGUAAGUAAAAUGUUAAAACUGGAGGCUCAACCUCUAGUCGCGUUUUAAACUGCGUAUCUUGAGUGAAGUAGAGGCAGGCGGAAUUCCUAGUGUAGCGGUGAAAUGCGUAGAUAUUAGGAGGAACACCAGUGGCGAAGGCGGCCUGCUGGGCUUUUACUGACGCUGAGGCUCGAAAGCAUGGGGAGCAAACA
rnacentral:rRNA from 1 species